GGGGAUUUAGCUCAGUGGUAGAGCGCUUGCCUAGCAAGCACAAGGUCCUUGGUUUGAUCCCCA
rnacentral:tRNA from 1 species